rnacentral:rRNA from 1 species
CCUACGGGAGGCAGCAGUGAGGAAUAUUGGUCAAUUUCCUCAAUUCUUAACCAUCCAAUCCUCUUUAUUGAGGAAGGCGCAGAGCGUCGCAGACCUCUUUUGCCGGGGGACAAAAGGCCGGACGGGUCCGGUUCUGAGGGUACCCGGAGAAAAAGCAUCGGCUAACUCCGUGCCAGCAGCCGCGGUAAUACGGAGGAUGCGAGCGUUAUCCGGAUUCAUUGGGUUUAAAGGGUGCGCAGGGGGGCCUUUAAGCCGGCGGUAAAAUCGCGGGGCCCAACCCCGCCGAGCCGUCGGAACUGGGGGCCUUGAGUGCGGCGGAGGCAUGCGGAAUGCGCGGUGUAGCGGUGAAAUGCAUAGAUAUCGCGCAGAACCCCGAUUGCGAAGGCAGCGUGCCGUGCCGCCACUGACGCUGAGGCACGAAAGCGCGGGGAUCGAACAGGAUUAGAUACCCUUGUAGUC